rnacentral:rRNA from 1 species
ACGGAGGAUGCGAGCGUUAUCCGGAUUCAUUGGGUUUAAAGGGUGCGCAGGCGGACUAAUAAGUCAGUGGUGAAAUCCCAUAGCUUAACUAUGGAACUGCCAUUGAUACUGUUAGACUAGAGUAUGGAUGACGUAGGCGGAAUGCGACAUGUAGCGGUGAAAUGCUUAGAUAUGUGGAGGAAUACCGAUUGCGAAGGCAGCUUACGGAGCCAUAACUGACGCUCAUGCGCGAAAGCGUGGGGAUCAAACAG